rnacentral:misc_RNA from 1 species
AAUUUAGUUCUCCAUUUUCCUUGCUCCAUCAAUUAUUUUGAUGUAGGUCUUGAAGUCUAGCCAGACAAAUGAAGGUGUGUCUGAUCAGAGAAAUCAAUACGUCUAUGCUUGUGUUUUGGUCACUGAUGCUGCUCUGUUACUCAUUGAAGGCUGAAGAAAAUACUUGCUGCCAGAGAUGCCUAAUAGCUGCUUAUUAUUGUCUCUGAAUAUAAGAUCCCACACUCAAACGCGCUUGCGUGUGAAUCUUGUCAUAGGUUUUGCUAAUUCAACCAAGAAAAUAGUUUAAUUAUGUAGGAAAGAUCUUAAUAUGAUGUGAAAAUGACAUUCCUGGAGGAGCCUAUUGACGUCCUACACCAGCUAUUCAUUAUUGACAAUUGCCGUAGCUAUCAUUUGUCAGACAAAUUUCAGUGGAUAUGCUUUCAGUCUGAGACUAUUACCUAGCCAGGUCUAGGGUCCAAUUAAUCCGUACUAGCUUUGAACUAACAUUGCAAAACUUGUCUUCACCCUUCUACUGGUGGAUUUGGGUUAUAGGGCAGGUGCGAUCACACCUACUUUGGAUACAAUUGGGAACAAUAACAAUUAAAGUAUCAAGAAACGAAAUUCGAUAUCAGCUGGUUUGAUAUGUACCUCGAUGGUUUUUUGCAGACAAGGAAGACCAAAUAAAACUAG